GUGCCAGCAGCCGCGGUAAUACGUAGGGCGCAAGCGUUGUCCGGAAUUAUUGGGCGUAAAGAGCUCGUAGGCGGUUUGUCGCGUCUGUCGUGAAAGCCCACGGCUUAACCGUGGGUCUGCGGUGGAUACGGGCAGACUAGAGGCAGGUAGGGGAGAAUGGAAUUCCCGGUGUAGCGGUGAAAUGCGCAGAUAUCGGGAGGAACACCGGUGGCGAAGGCGGUUCUCUGGGCCUGUACUGACGCUGAGGAGCGAAAGCGUGGGGAGCGAACAGGAUUAGAUACCCCCGUAGUCC
rnacentral:rRNA from 1 species